UACGUAGGGGGCGAGCGUUGUCCGGAAUCAUUGGGCGUAAAGCGCGUGUAGGCGGCUUGGUCAGUUUGGUGUGAAAUCCCGGGGCUCAACCCCGGAACUGCACUGAAUACUGCCUCGCUAGAGUCCGGGAGAGGAGUUGGGAAUUCCCAGUGUAGCGGUGAAAUGCGCAGAUAUUGGGAAGAACACCAAUGGCGAAGGCACAACUCUGGAACGGUACUGACGCUGAGACGCGAAAGCGUGGGGAGCAAACAGGAUUAGAUACCCCGGUAGUCC
rnacentral:rRNA from 1 species